UUCCUCUCUCUCUCUACCCGAGAGCUUCUCUCUCAUCCUCCUUGCCAGAAAUCGCCGUACCGCCGCCGGUCGCCGGAAUCACAAUCCUCACCAAAAUUUCCAGAUUUUCUUCUCUUCCUUCCCUCUUUCCAUUUCUCCAACCAAAAUCAAGAAAUUUGGCCAUCCAACCCUCCAAAAACCUAGAACCCGAAGCUAAAUUGGGGCUUUUUGUGAUUUCUUCUUUCCAAGCUUAAAUCAAGGCUACGGGUUUGGCAAGGAUUUUUGGUGAAGAAGGCCAAGGAGAAGGAAUAGGAUGUGAUUUUUGAAGAAGAAAGGGAAACACGAUCGUUAAGGAAGCUUAAGCGGAAAGCAUCAGAGUGUGGAGUACGCCAGCAUUUUCCAGGUUACAAUGAGGUCAUUCCGGAUGAUUUGGAUUAGAAGUGGGUCGUUGGCCGAGUUCGUGUGUUGCUGUUCCUAUCGCUUGAAGUUCUUCCCUUUUUGGUAUUCCAUCGAUUUACUCGUUUUUCAUUCCAUGUUGAACUCUGUGAGGUCCGCCUACCUGGGAGUGCACCUCACCCCUUUGUUUUAUUGUUAUUGUUGAACUCCUUUCAUUUCGGUUAAGAUGUAAGCCCUAAGGCGCCACGGUGCACUUGCCCACUUU